AUGGAGCAAACUGUAAGAUUCCGCAUCCUAAUUGAUGAUCAAAUAAAAAAAGUUACACUCAGCAGUGGGGUACCCUCAACUGUGGCUGAGUUGGUUGCAGCAGUCAAGGAAAAUCUGUCCAUCCCCACAGAUAUAAGUCUUCAGUACAAAGAUGAAGAUUUUGGUGACUUCUUCACCGUAACAUCUACAAAUGAACUGAAAGAUAAAGACACACUUAAAGUUGUAUAUGCACCUAUAUGCUUAGAUUUGACAGUUGCUGACCAAGAAAGCAACUGUGAUGUAUCUGUGAUGUCCUCCUUUGACAGUGACAGUGCUAGUGGCUCACUGGAUUCCCAAGAUACUGUCAUUUUGAGUCAGUCCACCUUUGAAAGGCAGAACCCCUGGCCUGCUGUGUUUCCCAUUCCAACUUUUUCACACAACACUGAGCUUGCUUUGAAACAAGGCAAUGAGACAUAUUUAAAAGAGGGCACCCCGAUGACAUCACCUGGUUUCAGAUCUGACAUCCUUGAGCGUCUGGCAGAAGCAAUGUUUUCUUAUACUGCUUACCCUGAUGAUGCCCAAAGAAGUGCUGUAGCACAGGCACUAGUUGAGAAGCAUCCCUGCUUGAAGGAACCAGGGUCUUUUAAUGGAAUUUAUGGAUGGCAGCAAAGCCUGAAAUACAAAUGUGGAAACUACCGCACAAAACGUAGAGCACUGGGAAGUCCUGAACUCUUGAUCAACUCAUUGUCACAAAAGCCUGGUGAUGAGCAAGAAGUUGCUAAAAACAUCAAGAAAGCAAAGAGGGCAGAACUUAAUUACCUUCCUCCACAUCCACCUGGUGAAACAGACGACACUCUUGAGAAUAUGAGGCUUGAAAUAAUAACUGCCAGCAAGAGAAAAGACUGUGGCAAAGACAUAAACUACCUGAUGACCAGGACAUACAGCUUGAGAAGAAAAGAAGUGGUUUCUCAGUCCCCAAGGGUGACAAACUUUAUGGAAAGAUGGCCCGCUCUCUUCGAUACAUUUCAGAUAAAUGCAGAGUUCCAAAGGUGCACUGCUGUUCCUCUACAGUCUACAUUCAUGUCUCAGCUGGAUAAAUGUACUCCAAAGCUCCUGGAUUUGUUCAGUGCCAAGGGAGGAGCAGUUGGUCAGCGCAUCAAGAACUUAUUGAUGGAACUGAUACAGGACACAAAUGUCUCCACUGUGCAGAAGAGAGACGUAACUCUGAGAUGCCUCAUUGAGUACAUGGGAGAGAGUGGACAGGAACUCAUCUCGGACUACUAUGUAAGUAAAUUAUUAGGGCCAAGAUUGAAUCAAUCUGUUGCACAAACUGGAUUUGAUAAGUAAUAAAAAUAGGCUACCCUAGUUUUGCAUAGUUGUUUUAAUAAACAUCCACAAAGUAUAACCUCCAGGAUGAUUGAGCACUGAAAUUCAGCCGUUGCGCCUGAGCCUACGUAAGGGAAACACUGAUGUGUGCAAAUGCAUCUGUGUGUCUGCUCUGUUUUCACAAAUAUCCAGUGAGUUAUGGGGAGUCGCUGUUCAUGUUAACGAGCUCACUUUAACGUUGAUUGGUCAAAUAUACGAGCAAGUUAAGUUUACGUUUACAACAAAAUAAACAAGUUUACAAAUCGUUCAGUGAACUCUUUAGGCACAACAAUGCCAUGUUGUACUUGUUAACCUUUCCCUUCUCACCCCCAAAUUCCACUACCUCCGCUCCGCUGCGCUCCGCUCCGACACGAACGCCGGAGCAAAAUCGGUCCCGUUCUAGUCAAUCAGAGCAAUUCCACUACUGCGGCCGUGCGCCGCCCUCUGUUCCGGCGUCCGGCAAAAAUAGAAUCGAUCCUAUUUUCACCGGACGCCGGAGCACCUCCGCAGUCAAUGGACAGAAAUCACAAACACCCAACAGGAAAAGGAGCAAGCAGAAAUUCCGUUUUUCACAAUACAUCGAUAAACAAAAGGCGUUUUUUGUUUCAUAUGCACAGAUUUAACAACUUUUAACAACUAUCAGUGGCGGCUGAAGUUUAAAUGCACAAAAAUAAGCCAUAAAUACAGUUUCCACUAUCAAAGUAGUCACACUUUGUUGAUCCAAACACUGCUGAUCUCUCAACACAAAUGAUGGGCAGAUUAAACAGUUCAUGCCGAUGCUUCUCCCACACAACGGGUGUUUGGAUCUAACUUCCGCGUUUAUUGCUCGGACUGUAUCGCAAGAUCUCGAAAAUCCCGCGCAUGCUUGUUUGCCCACCUCAGGUCUCCGCACCGGAGCGGAGCCGUUGUAGAGCGGGUACCAGUAAAAAUUGAGUUCGGAAGCGAGCGGCUGCGGAAGCCGGGGGCGGACCGGAGCGGAGCGGAGGUAGUGGAAUUUGGGGGUUAGUCGUACAUUUGCAGGAUUUCCCCCAGCGCUUUAUAAGCCAGGCUUUGCUUGGCCACCCGACACGAACGGCACAACAAAACUAGAGCCCUCCAUCAUCUUAUACUGGUGAGAAACAGCAGCGGAACGUGUGCAGGGAACUCCAGCAACAAAGGAAGAACUCAGCACAUUACAGUCCUAAUAAAUUUAAUACAUAUUAGAGAAACAUUUUAACCAAAAAACUCAUCUAUAUUACUGACUGUUGAUGUUGAAUUACAGUUCAAAUUCCAUAGCCAUCAUCCCACACUGAUGAAAUUUAUCUCCGCAUUUGACCCAUCCCGAUGAAGGGGAGUGGUGAGCUGCAGCAGUGGCUGCGCUCGGUAACUAUUUGGUAGUUUAACUCCCCAAUCCAACCCAUUAAAGCUGAGUGUCAAGCUGGGAGGCAUUGGGUACCAUUUUUAAGAUCUUUGGUAUGACCUGACCAGGAAUCAAACCUCUAUCUCCAAGUUCCAGGGCAGACACUCCACUACUAGGCCAGGGGUCGGCAACUCGCGGCUCUGGAGCCGCAUACGUCUCUUUCAUCCAUCUGAUGCGGCUCUCUGCUUGUAAAAUAAUUAAUGAAUAUUUAAUUACAAUGUAUUUUAUUUUACUGCAUUCAUUUUUUAUCUGUAGCCAAUUCUAAAUGUAAAGAUUGUCUAUGUAAACCAAGCCCCCACAAUGCCGCUCAGAAAAUGGUCCCAACCCGGAAGUAAGAAAAAUUGCAGUUCCACCCUCAUCCGCUGGGGGCUGGUACCAGAAGCGAGCAAAUCCUCAUUGACCCCCAUGUUAAAAAUGCCAUUUUCACAGCAGAAAUAAACAUGUUUACAGCCUGGUUCAAAAAAUGGUUUUUUGUCUAAAUUAUCUAGUUUAUACUCAUGACAACUCUGAGGGGGGUGAAUUUUUUUCUCACUCUUCUGUUUAAGUGUAUUGAAAGCCUAAAAUUCUGUAUAAUUAAUGAACAUCCGACACACGUGACCGCCGCCUCAGACCCACGUGACCACAUAGCUAGCUCCGUGGAAAGGCCUCAGUACAGCCUCGGUCUCUCCUGGAAACUGUGUCGGGAUUUUGAGUCUCUGUGCUUGUGAAUUCUGUUUUGGAUAAUAUUGGUGCAAUUGUUGGACAAAAUGACUUGCUGUGGUAUUAAUUGCACUAAUAGAGCGUCCAAGGAGUCUCCACUUCAUUUUUUUCGGGAAGGACCUGAUUGGUGUCCAGAACCUGCUGAAGAAGCACCAGGCUCUGCAGGCUGAGAUCACAGGUCAUGAACCUCGCAUCAAGGCUGUCACCCAGAAAGGAGAGACCAUGGUGGAAGAAGGUAGAGCAGGUCUGGUCCUGACAUGUUUCUGAGGUGUCUGCAGGUUCUGGCUCACUUUGUUUGGGUCCAGGUCACUUCGCUGGUUGUUUUACUUGAACUCGCGUCUUUAGCUGAAUGAGGAUGGAGAGACGGGUCGGACCUGGAGCAGGUCGAGGUCUUGCAGAAGAAGUUUGACGACUUCCAGAAGGACCUGAAGGCCAACGAGUCCCGCCUGAGGGACAUCAACAAGGUGGCAUCUGAACUGGAGUCAGAAGGUCUGAUGGCUGAGGAGGCUCCUAUGGUUCAGGCUCAGCAACAAGAACAUCUGGGUUCUGCUCCUGGAAAGGAUGAAGCCGACUCUGACCCCGGCUUUCCACAGGAGUCGUCAGCAGCACGUUACUGCAGCAGCACGUCAUAGCUGCUGAUAGGAACCGCUGUGGUCAACAGAACCUUUUCCACCGGAGCCGUCAGCAGCGCGAGUCGGCCACGUCUCAGGAGCAGCAUGUCGCGGGAAGGGCCGAGCAGCAGCUUACGCGAGCAAGACAAGCUGCUGCAGUAACGUGCUGCUGACGGCUCCCGUGGAAACCCGGGGUUAGACGGCGUCACCCUAGAAGGUGAGUUCAUUCAGCUGAUCAGAGGUCACCUCUGAUGGCCGCAGUCACGGCCGACCGUGCUGAAAUCACACAGGAAUUCAGGUGACCCGGCAGGCACCAGGUGCUGGUGAAAGUGGGGACAUGUCAGCUGGUUGCCAUGGCUACAGUUAUCUUUAUGCAUCUGUAUGACUGCUGACUGGUGUGUGUUUCCUGUGACCUUUGACCUCAGACCGUACGGUUGGGCGUUCAGACGACGGCUAACUUUAAUUCCAUCAAGGAGCUGAACAACCGCUGGCGCUCGCUGCAACAUGCUGGGCAGCGCCCAUGAGGUGUAGCGCUUCCACAGAGACGCUGAUGAGACCAAAGAGUGGAUCGAGGAGAAGAACCAGGCCCUGAACACAGACAACUACGGCCACCACCUAGCCAGCGUUCAGGCUCUGCAGCGUGAACAUGAAGGCUUUGAGCGUGACCUGGCAGCUCUGGGUGAUAAGGUCCGCUUUCCUGAUUGGUACCAGGACCCGAGUUGUCUCUGGAGACACAUUCUUCAUGGUUCUGGUGACUACACCCCAGCUGUUCCUGAUCAGCGAUCAGCGGGGUGCUUUCCUAUUUAAGGUGGAUGGAGGACACAAUUUGACGCCAGAAGAUUGCCUCAGUUUUGGAUUCCUGUCGACCUCAUUGGAUACUGACCUCUACUCCAGGAUUUGGAUAUUCAACACACGGACCUUAUCACCACCCUCCAUAACCCACCUCUCAUCUCACCCAGUGCCCCAUCCACCAGGACGCCCCGCUUCUCUCCACCUCUGCUCCCUCUCCUGCGCUUCCUCUCUACCUCUCCCUCCUCCAGCCAACACAUACACCCACCACAACGCUGAGCUGUUGUUGCAGUUCCAACCACAGACUUAUCUGUGCACCUUAAGUUCCUCCUUAUAAAUAAAUCAUUUUUUCCAUCAGUUUUUGGUCAGUGGUGUAUUCUGCAUGUCUUGGGUUAAGUACCUUCCUCCAAACAUGACACUCCUCUUCAAAGAGCAAAUCUGUUCAGCACAUUCUGACAGACAGACCACCAUUCUUCUGUCAUGAUGCUGUACAGGACAUUUUUAGAGUUUUUCUUUUUAAAGAUAAAUAGGAUUACAUUUAAAUAGCAAUACUUUCACAUUAUCAUUUUCCCACACUUCUGUAUAACUGUAUUUUGUUGUUUUUCAAUAAAGAAUGACAAAUUA